rnacentral:rRNA from 1 species
GAGCGGAUGAAGGUAGCUUGCUACUGGAUUCAGCGGCGGACGGGUGAGUAAUGCUUAGGAAUCUGCCUAUUAGUGGGGGACAACGUUCCGAAAGGAGCGCUAAUACCGCAUACGUCCUACGGGAGAAAGCAGGGGACCUUUGGGCCUUGCGCUAAUAGAUGAGCCUAAGUCGGAUUAGCUAGUUGGUAGGGUAAAGGCCUACCAAGGCGACGAUCUGUAGCGGGUCUGAGAGGAUGAUCCGCCACACUGGGACUGAGACACGGCCCAGACUCCUACGGGAGGCAGCAGUGGGGAAUAUUGGACAAUGGGGGGAACCCUGAUCCAGCCAUGCCGCGUGUGUGAAGAAGGCCUUUUGGUUGUAAAGCACUUUAAGCGAGGAGGAGGCUACCUAGAUUAAUACUUUAGGAUAGUGGACGUUACUCGCAGAAUAAGCACCGGCUAACUCUGUG